AGUGAACGCUGGCGGUAGGCCUAACACAUGCAAGUCGAACGGCAGCACAGUAAGAGCUUGCUCUUACGGGUGGCGAGUGGCGGACGGGUGAGGAAUACAUCGGAAUCUACUUUUUCGUGGGGGAUAACGUAGGGAAACUUACGCUAAUACCGCAUACGCCCUACGGGUGAAAGCAGGGGAUCUUCGGACCUUGCGCGAUUGAAUGAGCCGAUGUCGGAUUAGCUAGUUGGCGGGGUAAAGGCCCACCAAGGCGACGAUCCGUAGCUGGUCUGAGAGGAUGAUCAGCCACACUAGAACUGGGACACGGUCCAGACGCCUGCGGGAGGCAGCAGUGGGGAAUAGUGGACAAUGGGCGCAAGCCUGAUCCAGCCAUACCGCGUGGGUGAAGAAGGCCUUCGGGGUGGAAAGCCCUUUUGUUGGGAAAGAAAAGCAGCAGGUUAAUACCCCGCUGUUCUGACGGUACCCAAAGAAGAAGCACCGGCUAACUUCGUG
rnacentral:rRNA from 1 species